rnacentral:rRNA from 1 species
GAUGAACGCUGGCGGCGUGCCUAAUACAUGCAAGUCGAGCGGAGCGGGGACGGGUGAGUAACACGUGGAUAACCUCCUAUAAGACUGGGUAAACUCCGGGAAACCGGGCCUAUCCCGGAUACUUAUAACUGGAUCCGCGCUGCAUUAUCUAGUUGGUAAGGUAACGGCUCACCAAGGCAACGAUGCAUAGCCGACCUGAGAGGGUGAUCAGCCACACUGGAACUGAGACACGGUCCAGACUCCUACGGGAGGCAGCAGUAGGGAAUCUUCCGCAAUGGGCGCAAGCCUGACGGAGCAACGCCGCGUGAGUGAUGAAGGUCUUCGGAUCGUAAAACUCUGUUAGUAGGGAAGCGGUACCUAAUCAGAAAGCAACGGCUAACUCCGUGCCAGCAGCCGCGGUAAUAC